GCGGAAGGUCGGGCAGUCGCUGGAAUUCGUUUUGAAUCUCCAGAGGAAAGUCCGGGCACCACAGGACAGGAUACCUCAUGAAGAGUGAGGAACCCGUAAGGGUAUGGAAAGUACCACAGAGAAUAGACCGCUCUGCCCCGUGUCGUGCGGGUUACAGGGUGAGAUGUGAAAAGGCGGGGUAAGAGCCCACCGUCCCUCUAAAAGGGAGCUGGUAAACCCUAUCCGGUGCAAGACCAAGUAGAAGGGAUUUCCUGUUUAUUUCAGGAGAAAGCUGUCCGUUUUUAUUCCCUCGGGUAGGUCGCUCAAUGCUCCAUUUUUUUGGAGCCAGAUAAAUGACUGCCUCCUCUGUAUUAUCAGGGAAGACAGAACCCGGCUUACAGACCUUCCGCUUUU
rnacentral:RNase_P_RNA from 1 species